CCGGCGCACGGGUGAGUAACACGUAUCCAACCUGCCGUCUACUCUUGGACAGCCUUCUGAAAGGAAGAUUAAUACAAGAUGGCAUCAUGAGUUCACAUGUUCACAUGAUUAAAGGUAUUCCGGUAGACGAUGGGGAUGCGUUCCAUUAGAUAGUAGGCGGGGUAACGGCCCACCUAGUCUUCGAUGGAUAGGGGUUCCGAGAGGAAGGUCCCCCACAUUGGAACUGAGACACGGUCCAA
rnacentral:rRNA from 1 species